rnacentral:tRNA from 1 species
GGAGGGAUGGCAGAGCGGUCGAUUGCACCGUCUUGGAAAGGCGGCGGACCUUCACGGGUCCCGCGAGUUCGAAUCUCGCUCCCUCCGCCA